GUGGGGAAUAUUGGACAAUGGGCGAAAGCCUGAUCCAGCAAUGCCGCGUGAGUGAUGAAGGCCCUAGGGUUGUAAAGCUCUUUUACCCGGGAUGAUAAUGACAGUACCGGGAGAAUAAGCUCCGGCUAACUUCGUGCCAGCAGCCGCGGUAAUACGAGGGGAGCUAGCGUUGUUCGGAAUUACUGGGCGUAAAGCGCACGUAGGCGGUUACUCAAGUCAGAGGUGAAAGCCCGGGGCUCAACCCCGGAACUGCCUUUGAAACUAGGUAACUAGAAUCUUGGAGAGGUCAGUGGAAUUCCGAGUGUAGAGGUGAAAUUCGUAGAUAUUCGGAAGAACACCAGUGGCGAAGGCGACUGACUGGACAAGUAUUGACGCUGAGGUGCGAAAGCGUGGGGAGCAAACAGGAUUAGAUACCCUUGUAGUCC
rnacentral:rRNA from 1 species